GGCUACUAAAAAAGACUGGACAUACCCCAUAUUGAAUACCCUGGGUUCUCUACUUUUGCAAAUGGUAUGCGACAUGGGGAUAAUUCUCAUUCCUGGGCUACGAUACGGUCUCAAAGCCAACAUUACCAAUCUGGCAAAUUUCACUGUAUAUAAACUGAAAAACGGAAUGUGCUAUAUUUGACCUUGUAACUUUCCAAAACACCAUAAAAUCUCUUCAUGGGGGUACAGUUGUACUCGUUACAACUCGCAAUUUUAAGUAGCCGCAUAUUCAAAUUCUAUUUUUGUGUGUGACACAAAUGGUCUCUGAAUUCCA